rnacentral:rRNA from 1 species
CCUACGGGUGGCAGCAGUGAGGAAUAUUGGUCAAUGGACGAGAGUCUGAACCAGCCAAGUAGCGUGAAGGAUGACUGCCCUAUGGGUUGUAAACUUCUUUUAUAAAGGAAUAAAGCGAGGCACGUGUGCCUUUUUGCAUGUACUUUAUGAAUAAGGAUCGGCUAACUCCGUGCCAGCAGCCGCGGGAAUACGGAGGAUCCGAGCGUUAUCCGGAUUUAUUGGGUUUAAAGGGAGCGGAGAUGGGUUGUUAAGUCAGUUGUGAAAGUUUGCGGCUCAACCGUAAAAUUGCAAUUGAUACUGGCAGUCGUGAGUACAGUUGAGGUAGGCGGAAUUCGUGGUGUAGCGGUGAAAUGCUUAGAUAUCACGAAGAACCCCGAUUGCGAAGGCAGCUUACUAAACUGUGACUGACAUUGAUGCUCGAAAGUGUGGGUAUCAAACAGGAUUAGAUACCCUGGUAGUC